UACGAAGGGGGCGAGCGUUGUUCGGAAUUACUGGGCGUAAAGCGUGCGUAGGUGGUUCGUUAAGUCUGUCGUGAAAGCCCCGGGCUCAACCUGGGAAUGGCGAUGGAUACUGGCGGGCUAGAGUGCGGUAGAGGAGAGUGGAAUUCCCGGUGUAGCAGUGAAAUGCGUAGAGAUCGGGAGGAACAUCAGUUGCGAAGGCGGCUCUCUGGACCAGCACUGACACUGAGGCACGAAAGCGUGGGGAGCAAACAGG
rnacentral:rRNA from 1 species